rnacentral:rRNA from 1 species
AUGUAAUGUAAUCCCUACAAUGUUAAUGCACUGUAUCCCAUUAGAAAUCUACAGUUAAGCACGCUUGGUCUAGAGUAGUAUUGGAAUGGGUGACCUCUUAGGAAGUCCUAGUGUUUUACAUG